rnacentral:rRNA from 1 species
UGGCGGACGGGUGAGUAACGCGUGGACAACCGACCCUCCGGACGGGGAUAGCCGCGGGAAACUGCGGAUAAUAUCGGAUACGACCCGGGGAGCGAAGGCGCUCCGGGGGAAAGCCGCUGCGGCGGCGCCGGGGGACGGGUCUGCGUCCCAUCAGCUAGACGGCGGGGUGAAGGCCCACCGUGGCGACGACGGGUAGCCGGCCUGAGAGGGUGGACGGCCACAUUGGGACUGAGAACGGCCCAGACUCCUACGGGAGGCAGCAGCUAAGGAUCUUCCGCAAUGGGCGAAAGCCUGACGGAGCGACGCCGCGUGGACGAUGGAGGCCGUGAGGUUGUAAAGUCCUUUUCCGUGGGGUGAAGAGCCGUGCCAGGGAAUGGGUGCGGGGUGACGUGACCACGGGAAUAAGCCCCGGCUAACUACGUGCCAGCAGCCGCGGUAAU